rnacentral:rRNA from 1 species
CCUACGGGGGGCAGCAGUGGGGAAUAUUGGACAAUGGGCGAAAGCCUGAUCCAGCCAUGCCGCGUGUGUGAAGAAGGCCUUCGGGUUGUAAAGCACUUUCAGUGGGGAAGAAAGCCUUGGGGCUAAUACCCUCGAGGAAGGACAUCACCCACAGAAUAAGCACCGGCUAACUCCGUGCCAGCAGCCGCGGUAAUACGGAGGGUGCGAGCGUUAAUCGGAAUUACUGGGCGUAAAGCGCGCGUAGGCGGUCUGAUAAGCCGGUUGUGAAAGCCCCGGGCUCAACCUGGGAACGGCAUCCGGAACGGUCAGGCUAGAGUGCAGGAGAGGAAGGUAGAAUUCCCGGUGUAGCGGUGAAAUGCGUAGAGAUCGGGAGGAAUACCAGUGGCGAAGGCGGCCUUCUGGACUGACACUGACGCUGAGGUGCGAAAGCGUGGGUAGCAAACAGGAUUAGAUACCCCAGUAGUC